UGCUAAAAAUAAAAAGUUCAGCCGAACAGAAUUUGAGGAUUUCAAACUAUUCAAUGUUACAAACAAAAGUGUGAAAUACCAUUCUUUGGUCUAGAUAAGCUGUUCCCUUUACAUUAACAUUCCAAUGGCUUUUUGAAAACUUUAAAAUGUUGAAAAUAGGCAAAAACAAAAUUAUAUAUACAUAGGGAUGUAUCAUACAAAUGAACCUUUAAAGGAAACUGAAGUCAACUAACAACUGAUUAAAGAUACCUAGUACCCUUAAAAAAAGUUAGUGUUGAAUGUACAAGUACAGAAAUAAUGGAACUUUAAAAAUUAUGACAAUUAUUUUCCAGUCUAUAAAUAUUACAUCUUUCUGAUUUCCUUGUUCAAGUUCACAAGUAAACAUUCAUUUUGACAUGCUGAAGUUCCCAAUGCUGGUGGAGCAAUUCCUGUACCUGGACAACUGUAAUAAGGUUAUAAUUUGUCUGGACAGUUUACAUCUGUCACCUCCUGUCUCAUGGCUGUAGCUUCAUUAACUCCCUCUUGAUCCCCUCCAUCAGCUCCAAAUCCAGAUCCUCCAGCACCUUCAGGUCUAUCAUUAUCAUCUUCCAAGCCAUUAUAGAACUCUUCAAUCUCACUUUCAUCUUCCAUGGGUUCUCCUAAACUUGGACUCGGGCAUGUGCCACUGUCACUGUUACUGCCACAGGAACUAGAGGAUAAGACAUCGUCUUCAGAGUCUGAGUACACCUCCGCACCAUGGAAUAUGUAACGAUUUGGUGGUACAAAAAGUUAUGUGCACUCAAGAUUAUCAAAUAAUGCUUAAUCACGACACUAGAUAGCAGCUUCUUUCCAAGCCUGAUGUUUCUAUUAAACUAAGCACACUACAGAAAACUACUGUUGACAUUUACUAACCAUGACACUGGAUGAUCCUUUGGAUUCCUGCAACCUGCUCCAAGG